UGGGGAAUAUUGCACAAUGGGCGAAAGCCUGAUGCAGCAACGCCGCGUGAGUGAUGAAGGCCUUCGGGUUGUAAAGCUCUGUCUUUUGGGACGAUAAUGACGGUACCAAAGGAGGAAGCCACGGCUAACUACGUGCCAGCAGCCGCGGUAAUACGUAGGUGGCAAGCGUUGUCCGGAUUUACUGGGCGUAAAGGAUGCGUAGGCGGAUUUUUAAGUGAGAUGUGAAAACCCUAAGCUUAACUUGGGGACUGCAUUUCAUACUGGAAAUCUAGAGUGCGGGAGAGGAGAAUGGAAUUCCUAGUGUAGCGGUGAGAUGCGUAGAGAUUAGGAAGAAUACCAGUGGCGAAGGCGAUUCUCUGGACCGUAACUGACGCUGAGGCAUGAAAGCGUGGGUAGCAAACAGGAUUAGAUACCCUGGUAGUCCACGCCGUAAACGAUGAGUACUAGGUGUAGGAGGUAUCGACCCCUUCUGUGCCGCAGUUAACACAAUAAGUACUCCGCCUGGGAAGUACGAUCGCAAGAUUAAAACUCAAAUGAAUUGACGGGGUC
rnacentral:rRNA from 1 species